rnacentral:RNase_P_RNA from 1 species
GCGAGCUGGACAGCCGCGCGGGCAGGUCGAAAGGCCGUCCGUGAGGAAAGUCCGGGCUCCAUAGGGCAAGGAUAACGGGUAACGCCCGCCGAAGGCGACUUCAGGACAAGUGCAACAGAGAGAUACCGCCCAGGUCCUCCUGGGUAAGGGUGGAAAGGUGAGGUAAGAGCUCACCCGCCGGCGUGGAAGCGUCCGGUGCUGUAAACUCUAUCCGGAGCAACACCGUGGAGGGGAAGACGACCGGCCCGGUCUCCCCGAGGAGGUGGCUGGAGCGUACCGGCAACGGUGCGCCUAGAUAGAUGGCUGUCGAAGACAGAACCCGGCUUAUAGGCUCACUUG